rnacentral:tRNA from 1 species
AAAGAAAUAAAAAAAGAAAAGCUUCUAACUUUUUAAAAGAGCAAAAAA